rnacentral:rRNA from 1 species
UACGUAGGGGGCGAGCGUUGUCCGGAAUUAUUGGGCGUAAAGAGCGUGUAGGCUGUUCGGUAAGUCUGCCGUGAAAACCUGAGGCUCAACCUCGGGCGUGCGGUGGAUACUGCCGGGCUAGAGUCCGGAAGAGGCGAGUGGAAUUCCUGGUGUAGCGGUGGAAUGCGCAGAUAUCAGGAGGAACACCAAUAGCGAAGGCAACUCGCUGGGACGGUACUGACGCUAAGGCGCGAAAGCGUGGGGAGCGAACAGG